CCUACGGGUGGCAGCAGUGGGGAAUAUUGGACAAUGGGGGGAACCCUGAUCCAGCGACGCCGCGUGAGUGAAGAAGUAUUUCGGUAUGUAAAGCUCUAUCAGCAGGGAAGAAAAUGACGGUACCUGACUAAGAAGCCCCGGCUAACUACGUGCCAGCAGCCGCGGUAAUACGUAGGGGGCAAGCGUUAUCCGGAUUUACUGGGUGUAAAGGGAGCGUAGACGGUGCAGCAAGUCUGAUGUGAAAGGUCGGGGCCCAACCCCGGGACUGCAUGUGUAGCGGUAAAAUGCGUAAAUAUAUGUAAGAACACCAGUGGCGAAGGCGGCAUACCGGCGCCCUACUGACGCUGAGGCACGAAAGUGCGGGUAUCGAACAGGAUUAGAUACCCCAGUAGUC
rnacentral:rRNA from 1 species